rnacentral:rRNA from 1 species
CAAUAGCGUAUAUUUAAGUUGUUGCAGUUAAAAAGCUCGUAGUUGGAUUUCGGGUGGGACGCAGCGGUCUCGCAUUGCGGUUGUACUGCUGCAGCCCUCCUUCUUGCCGGGGGCGGCCUCUCGGACUUCACUGUCUGGGGGUCAGAAUCGGCGAUGUUACUUUGAGUAAAUUAGAGUGUUCAAAGCAAGCUUACGCUCUGAAUAUAAUAGCAUGGGAUAACACGACAGGACUCUGGCCUAUCGUGUUGGUCUAUAGGACCAGAGUAAUGAUUAAGAGGGACAGUCGGGGGCAUUCGUAUUCCGUUGUCAGAGGUGAAAUUCUUGGAUUUACGGAAGACGAACAUCUGCGAAAGCAUUUGCCAAGGAUGUUUUCAUUGA